rnacentral:RNase_P_RNA from 3 species
UGGGAUAGCCAGACGAUCGCGCGCUGCUCUGCGGAGUGGCUCGAGGAACGUCCGGGCUCCACAGAGCAGAGUGGUGGGUAACGCCCACUCGGGGUAACCCGCAGGCUAGUGCCACAGAAAACAGACCGCCUUCUUCGGAAGGUAAGGGUGAAACGGCGGUGUAAGAGACCACCAGCCGCCCAGGUGACUGGGCGGGCUAGGUAAACCCCACUCGGAGCAAGGCCAGACAGGUCACGCUGAGGGCUGCUCGCCCGAGUGACCGGGUAGGCUGCUAGAGGGCAUCGGCAACGGUGUCCGUAGAUGGAUGAUCGUCGUCGCGGUGCUGGUAACGGCACCGCUUCACAGAACCCGGCGUAUCGGCUAUCCCAUCCG